UGGGGAAUAUUGCGCAAUGGGGGCAACCCUGACGCAGCCAUGCCGCGUGAAUGAAGAAGGCCUUCGGGUUGUAAAGUUCUUUCGGUGACGAGGAAGGCGUGAUGUUUAAUAGGCAUCACGAUUGACGUUAAUCACAGAAGAAGCACCGGCUAACUCCGUGCCAGCAGCCGCGGUAAUACGGAGGGUGCGAGCGUUACUCGGAAUAACUGGGCGUAAAGGGCACGCAGGCGGCUAUUUAAGUGAGGUGUGAAAUCCCCGGGCUUAACCUGGGAAUUGCAUUUCAGACUGGGUAGCUAGAGUACUUUAGGGAGGGGUAGAAUUCCACGUGUAGCGGUGAAAUGCGUAGAGAUGUGGAGGAAUACCGAAGGCGAAGGCAGCCCCUUGGGAAUGUACUGACGCUCAUGUGCGAAAGCGUGGGGAGCAAACAGGAUUAGAUACCCUGGUAGUCCACGCUGUAAACGCUGUCGAUUUGGGGAUUGGGCCUUGAGCUUGGUGCCCGAAGCUAACGUGAUAAAUCGACCGCCUGGGGAGUACGGCCGCAAGGUU
rnacentral:rRNA from 1 species